UACGUAGGGGGCUAGCGUUGUCCGGAAUCAUUGGGCGUAAAGAGCGUGUAGGCGGCUCGGUAAGUCUGUAGUGAAAUCUCUGGGCUCAACCUGGAGUCGCCAUCCGAUACUGUCAUGGCUAGAGUCCGGUAGGGGCCCACGGAAUUCCUGGUGUAGCGGUGAAAUGCGCAGAUAUCAGGAGGAACACCGGUGGCGAAGGCGGUGGGCUGGGCCGGCACUGACGCUGAGGAGCGAAAGCGUGGGGAGCGAACAGG
rnacentral:rRNA from 1 species